rnacentral:rRNA from 1 species
GAUGAACGCUAGCGAUAGGCUUAACACAUGCAAGUCGAGGGGCAGCACAAGGUAGCUUGCUAUCUGGGUGGCGACCGGCGCACGGGUGCGUAACGCGUAUGCAACUUGCCCUAUACAGGAGGAUAACCCGUCGAAAGACGGACUAAUACUGCGUAUGCUCACAACUUGGCAUCAAGUGGUGAGGAAAGAAAUUCGGUAUAGGAUAGGCAUGCGUCCCAUUAGCUUGUUGGUGAGGUAACGGCUCACCAAGGCAACGAUGGGUAGGGGAACUGAGAGGUUUAUCCCCCACACUGGGACUGAGACACGGACCAGACUCCUACGGGAGGCAGCAGUGAGGAAUAUUGGUCAAUGGGCGCGAGCCUGAACCAGCCAAGUCGCGUGAAGGAGGACUGUCUUAUGGAUUGUAAACUUCUUUUAUACGGGAAUAACAAGAGUCACGUGUGACUCCCUGCAUGUACCGUAUGAAUAAGCAUCGGCUAACUCCGUG